GAUGAACGCUGGCGGCGUGCCUAAUACAUGCAAGUCGAGCGAACGGACGAGGAGCUUGCUCCUCUGACGUUAGCGGCGGACGGGUGAGUAACACGUGGAUAACCUACCUAUAAGACUGGGAUAACUUCGGGAAACCGGAGCUAAUACCGGAUAAUAUAUUGAACCGCAUGGUUCAAUAGUGAAAGACGGUUUUGCUGUCACUUAUAGAUGGAUCCGCGCCGCAUUAGCUAGUUGGUAAGGUAACGGCUUACCAAGGCAACGAUGCGUAGCCGACCUGAGAGGGUGAUCGGCCACACUGGAACUGAGACACGGUCCAGACUCCUACGGGAGGCAGCAGUAGGGAAUCUUCCGCAAUGGGCGAAAGCUUGACGGAGCAACGCCGCGUGAGUGGUGAAGGUCUUCGGAUCGUAAAACUCUGUUAUUAGGGAAGAACAAAUGUGUAAGUAACUAUGCACGUCUUGACGGUACCUAAACAGAAAGCCACGGCUAACUACGUG
rnacentral:rRNA from 1 species